rnacentral:RNase_P_RNA from 2 species
GGGGCGGGCCGGAUGACCGCUGGGUGCAUUUUUGCACCAAGAGGAAAGUCCGGGCUCCACAGGGCGGAAUGCUGGGCAAUUCCCAGCGGGGGUAACCCCGGGCAAGCGCAACAGAGAGAAGACCGCCGCGAAACUCCUGGUUUCGCAGUAAGGGUGAAAGGGUGAGGUAAGAGCUCACCGGCCGGGCGGGCGACCGUCCGGGCCAGGCAAGCCCCGUUCGGAGCAAAACCAAAUAGGGCGGCAAUAAGAUGGCCCGUCUUGCCGCCGGGUAGGUUGCUAGAGCCGUGGAGUAAUUCACGGCCUAGAUGAAUGGUCAUCACCCCCGAUUUACCGGGGGCACAGAACCCGGCUUACAGGCCCCCCCAACUU